UAGGGCAAAGAGAGUGACUGGGAAG
rnacentral:piRNA from 1 species